UACAGAGGGGGCAAGCGUUAUUCGGAAUUAUUGGGCGUAAAGGGCGCGUAGGCGGCGAUUCAAGUGACGGGUGAAAUCCCUCGGCUUAACCGGGGAACUGCGUCUGAUACUGGAUGGCUUGAGAUUGGGAGAGGGAUGCGGAAUUCCAGGUGUAGCGGUGAAAUGCGUAGAUAUCUGGAGGAACACCGGUGGCGAAGGCGGCAUCCUGGACCAACACUGACACUGAGGAGCGAAAGCCAGGGGAGCAAACGGG
rnacentral:rRNA from 1 species